UGGGGAAUUUUGGACAAUGGGGGAAACCCUGAUCCAGCAAUGCCGCGUGAGUGAAGAAGGCCUUCGGGUUGUAAAGCUCUUUUGUCAGGGAAGAAAAAGCCAAGGCUAAUAUCCUGGGUGAAUGACGGUACCUGAAGAAUAAGCACCGGCUAACUACGUGCCAGCAGCCGCGGUAAUACGUAGGGUGCGAGCGUUAAUCGGAAUUACUGGGCGUAAAGGGUGCGCAGGCGGUUGUGCAAGACAGAUGUGAAAUCCCCGGGCUUAACCUGGGAAUUGCAUUUGUGACUGCACAGCUAGAGUGUGUCAGAGGGGGGUAGAAUUCCACGUGUAGCAGUGAAAUGCGUAGAGAUGUGGAGGAAUACCGAUGGCGAAGGCAGCCCCCUGGGAUAACACUGACGCUCAUGCACGAAAGCGUGGGGAGCAAACAGG
rnacentral:rRNA from 2 species